rnacentral:rRNA from 1 species
AGCGUAGGCGGACAUUUAAGUCAGGGGUGAAAUCCCGGGGCUCAACCUCGGAAUUGCCUUUGAUACUGGGUGUCUUGAGUAUGAGAGAGGUGUGUGGAACUCCGAGUGUAGAGGUGAAAUUCGUAGAUAUUGGGAAGAACACCGGUGGCGAAGGCGGCAACCUGGCUCAUUACUGACGCUGAGGCGCGAAAGCGUGGGGAGCAAACAGGAUUAGAUACCCUGGUA